UCCCUGGUGGUCCAGUGGUUAAGACUCUGCACUUUUACUGCCGAGGGCCCAGGUUCGAUCCCUGGUCAGGGAA
rnacentral:tRNA from 1 species